rnacentral:pre_miRNA from 1 species
AUUAAACUAAUUUUUCACUUUUUACCUAGAAUUUUUGACUCUUCGUCUUAUUUAAAAAAAUUUUGCGAUAGAUAUUUUUGUUUUUAUUAGAUGAUAAAUCGUGAAUGGUAUUUUACGUGUGACUAAUUUUUUUUCUAAUUUUUUGAAAAUUUUUCAAAUAAGACGGAUGGUCAAACAUCAGACACGGAAACUGAAG